rnacentral:tRNA from 1 species
GGGGCGUUAGCUCAAUUGGCAGAGCAGCGGACUUUUAAUCCGUGGGUUCUGGGUUCGAUCCCCAGGCGCCCUA